rnacentral:rRNA from 1 species
GAUCAGCUCAGGAUGAACGCUAGCUACAGGCUUAACACAUGCAAGUCGAGGGGCAGCAUGUUGGUUGCUUGCAACCAAUGAUGGCGACCGGCGCACGGGUGAGUAACGCGUAUCCAACCUACCCUUGUCCAUCGGAUAACCCGUCGAAAGGCGGCCUAACACGAUAUGCGGUUCACAGCAGGCAUCUAACGUGAACGAAAUGUAAAGGAGAAGGAUGGGGAUGCGU